ACGGGAGGCAGCAGUGAGGAAUAUUGGUCAAUGGAGGCAACUCUGAACCAGCCAUCUCGCGUGAAGGAAUACGGCCCUACGGGUCUUAAACUUCUUUUAUAGGGGGAUAAAGUGAGGCAUGCAUGCCUUUUUGUAGGUACCCUAUGAAUAAGCAUCGGCUAACUCCGUGCCAGCAGCCGCGGUAAUACGGAGGAUGCGAGCGUUAUCCGGAUUUAUUGGGUUUAAAGGGUGCGUAGGCGGAGGAUCAAGUCAGUGGUGAAAUGGUGCGGCUCAACCGUAGCAUUGCCGUUGAAACUGGUUUUCUAGAGUGCGAAUGAGGUGGGCGGAAUGUGUCAUGUAGCGGUGAAAUGCAUAGAUAUGACACAGAACACCGAUUGCGAAGGCAGCUCACUGGGACGCAACUGACGCUGAGGCACGAAAGUGCGGGGAUCGAACAGGAUUAGAUACCCUGGUA
rnacentral:rRNA from 1 species